UACGAAGGGACCUAGCGUAGUUCGGAAUUACUGGGCUUAAAGAGUUCGUAGGUGGUUGAAAAAGUUGGUGGUGAAAUCCCAGAGCUUAACUCUGGAACUGCCAUCAAAACUUUUCAGCUAGAGUAUGAUAGAGGAAAGCAGAAUUUCUAGUGUAGAGGUGAAAUUCGUGGAUAUUAGAAAGAAUACCAAUUGCGAAGGCAGCUUUCUGGAUCAUUACUGACACUGAGGAACGAAAGCAUGGGUAGCGAAGAGGAUUAGAUACCCUCGUAGUCCAUGCCGUAAACGAUGUGUGUUAGACGUUGGAAAUUUAUUUUCAGUGUCGCAGCGAAAGCGAUAAACACACCGCCUGGGGAGUACGACCGCAAGGUUAAAACUCAAAUGAAUUGACGGGGACCCGCACAAGUAGUGGAGCAUGUGGUUUAAUUCGAAGAUACGCGCAGAACCUUACCAACACUUGACAUGUUCGUCGCGACUCUAAGAGAUUAGAGUUUUCGGUUCGGCCGGACGAAACACAGGUGCUGCAUGGCUGUCGUCAGCUCGUGUCGUGAGAUGUUGGGUUAAGUCCCGCAACGAGCGCAACCCUCACUUUUAGUUGCCAUCAUUAAGUUGGGCACUCUGAAAGAACUGCCAGUGAUAAGCUGGAGGAAGGUGGGGAUGACGUCAAGUCCUCAUGGCCCUUACGUGUUGGGCUACACACGUGCUACAAUGGUAUCUACAACAGGAAGCAAGACUGCGAAGUUAAGCAAAUCCCUAAAAGAUACCUCAGUUCGGAUUGCACUCUGCAACUCGAGUGCAUGAAGCUGGAAUUACUAGUAAUCGUGGAUCAGCGUGCCACGGUGAAUGCGUUCCCGGGUCU
rnacentral:rRNA from 1 species